GACGAACGCUGGCGGCGUGCCUAAUACAUGCAAGUAGGACGCAGUUGCGAACGGGUUAGUCACGCGUAGGUCACUACCUAUUAGAGGGGGAUGACUAUUGGAAACGAUAGCUCAUACCGCAUACUAGUAGAUGGCCCUUCUUUGUAUUAGCUAGUAUGUAGGGUAAUGGCCUACCUAGGCAACGUUACUGAGACGAGUUUGGAGGGUGAUCGGGCACACUUGGACUGGGACCCGGACCCGACUCCUACGGUGAGCAGGAGUAGGGAAUGUUCGGCAAUGGGGGGAACCCUGACCGCGCAACGGCGCGGGAGAGAAGAAGGUUUUCGGAUCGUAAAGCUCUGUUGUGAAGGAAGCGGUACUUAAAGAGAAAGGGACGGCUAACUCCGUGCCAGCCGCCGCGGUAAUAC
rnacentral:rRNA from 1 species